UACGGGGGAGCAAGCGUUGUUCGGAUUUACUGGGCGUAAAGGGCGCGUAGGCGGCCAGCACAAGUCAGUUGUGAAAUCUCCGGGCUUAACUCGGAAAGGUCAACUGAUACUGUGCGGCUAGAGUGCAGAAGGGGCAACUGGAAUUCUCGGUGUAGCGGUGAAAUGCGUAGAUAUCGAGAGGAACACCUGCGGCGAAGGCGGGUUGCUGGGCUGACACUGACGCUGAUGCGCGA
rnacentral:rRNA from 1 species